rnacentral:rRNA from 1 species
UACGAAGGGGGCUAGCGGUGCUCGGAAUUACUGGGCGUAAAGGGCGCGUAGGCGGACCUGUCAGUCAGGCGUGAAAGCCCAGGGCUCAACCCUGGAACUGCGCUUGAUACUGCGGGUCUAGAGUGCCGGAGAGGAUGGUGGAAUUCCCAGUGUAGAGGUGAAAUUCGUAGAUAUUGGGAAGAACACCGGUGGCGAAGGCGGCCAUCUGGACGGCAACUGACGCUGAGGCGCGAAAGCGUGGGGAGCAAACAGG